rnacentral:rRNA from 1 species
UACGAAGGGGGCUAGCGUUGCUCGGAAUCACUGGGCGUAAAGCGCACGUAGGCGGCUUUUUAAGUCAGGGGUGAAAUCCUGGAGCUCAACUCCAGAACUGCCUUUGAUACUGGGAAGCUUGAGUCCGGGAGAGGUGAGUGGAACUCCGAGUGUAGAGGUGAAAUUCGUAGAUAUCCGGAGGAACACCGGUGGCGAAGGCGGCUUCCUGGACCGACACUGACGCUGAGGCGCGAAAGCUAGGGGAGCAAACGGG